rnacentral:ncRNA from 1 species
AAACAGAACCCUAUGGAACACCACUUUCAACGUUCGCCAAUUCCGAGCAAGAGUUUCCGUGUUUCUUGGCGAUCCUUUUCAUCAACCGAUAUCCAGACUUUUAAGCAAAAGGUGUCAGAAAAGUUACCACAGGGAUACAUGGCUAGUGGCAGCCAAACGUUCAUAGGGACGUCGCUUUUUGAUCAUUCGAUGUAGGUUCUUCCUAUAAUGGUGAAGCAUAAUCGGGAACGUGAGCUGUGGUAAGACAGUCGUGAUACAGGUUAGUUUUAC